rnacentral:rRNA from 1 species
GAUGAACGCUGGCGGUAUGCCUAACACAUGCAAGUCGAACGAACUCGCAAGAGAGAGUGGCGGACGGGUGAGUAACGCGUGAGAAUCUGCCUUCAGGAUGGGGAUAACAGUUGGAAACGACUGCUAAUACCCAAUAUGCCCUAAGGGGUGAAAGAAAUUCGCCUGGAGAGGAGCUCGCGUCCGAUUAGUUAGUUGGUGGGGUAAGAGCCUACCAAGGCGGCGAUCGGUAGCUGGUCUGAGAGGAUGAGCAGCCACACUGGGACUGAGACACGGCCCAGACUCCUACGGGAGGCAGCAGUGGGGAAUUUUCCGCAAUGGGCGCAAGCCUGACGGAGCAAUACCGCGUGAGGGAGGAAGGCUUUUGGGUUGUAAACCUCUUUUCUCAAGGAAGAAGACAGUGACGGUACUUGAGGAAUCAGCAUCGGCUAACUCCGUGCCAGCCGCCGCCGUAACAC